rnacentral:rRNA from 1 species
AGUGAACGCUGGCGGUAGGCCUAACACAUGCCAGUCGAACGGCAGCACAGUAAGAGCUUGCUCUUACGGGUGGCGAGUGGCGGACGGGUGAGGAAUACAUCGGAAUCUACUUUUUCGUGGGGGAUAACGUAGGGAAACUUACGCUAAUACCGCAUACGACCUACGGGUGAAAGCAGGGGAUCUUCGGACCUUGCGCGAUUGAAUGAGCCGAUGUCGGAUUAGCUAGUUGGCGGGGUAAAGGCCCACGAAGGCGACGAUCCGUAGCUGGUCUGAGAGGAUGAUCAGCCACACUGGAACUGAGACACGGUCCAGACUCCUGCGGGAGGCAGCAGUGGGGAAUAUUGGACAAUGGGCGCAAGCCUGAUCCAGCCAUACCGCGUGUGUGAAGAAGGCCUUCGGGUUGUAAAGCCCUUUUGUUGGGAAAGAAAAGCAGCAGGUUAAUACCCCGCUGUUCUGACGGUACCCAAAGAAUAAGCACCGGCUAACUUCGUG